CACUUUCCUCAGUGUCCUCCUUAGUCUUCUCGGACCUGGGGAGGAAGUACUGCUCUGUGGGUCACAGAAAUGGACGGGGAUGAGUUGGUGGGGGAGGGGCUUUGAGGCACAUUGAAGAGCUGCUUUUGACUUCCCAGUAAAGGCAGUCUGCCUGUCUUGGCUCAGUUCUGCACUGAGCCUCUUAUUGGGCUUGGGACCCAAACAAUUGGAACUUCCUCUGCCUUUGAAGAAUUUGCCAGCUAGGUGGGGAUUCAAGGACAUUCACACAAGAUGCAGCUUCAGCAUAAUAAUGAGGAAGCAUCUCUAUUAACAAGAACAGAAUGACAUGGUAAAAACUUGAUACACUUAUGAUAAAUGUUUAGGGCAAGAAAUGCUUAUUGACAAGUCUAAACUCUGGAGAGCUGGGUAAAAUUUUCUGAACGUGCUAAUACCAUUCAUAGCUCUGUGGAAAUCAAGCAGAGAGGCCCUUUAUUACCAGCCCUUCCCCACCCCUCACCCCGCCCCGCCCAAACCUGCCUCUCUGCCCACUGUGUCUGUUUCUCUCCCCAAGCUGUGGUCUGGACCAGCCAGUGACACAUAAUUCCAAAUCCUGCCCACAGUCUUCUGUGACUUUGGAGGAAAGGCCAGAGUGUUUUCCUAGGGGAGCCCCGUGUUUUCACAUUUUAAAGCAGUGCUUUGUAGCAAAGGAGUGGGAACGUGGAGGAGGAUGGGAGAAGCGAGCUGACUGUUACUGAGUGCCUUUAAGUGUCAGGCAUUGAGCCCACAGCUGCUUCCCGUGUGCAUCAUUAUCGAGGAUCCAAGGAACCAAGACAGAUGAACGAACACAGUGCAAAGAACCCGAGCUGUAGCUCCAGCAGAUCUGAGUUUGAAUCUUGGCUCCAACACUCAUUCGUUGUGUGGCCUUAGCAAGGAUUUGACCUCCUCAGCCUCGUUUUCUCAAGUUAUAGAGGGGGUGAGAGUUCCUGCCUCUUACAUGUUUUAGAAGCCAUUCAUUUCACACUUACAGUAAAAUGCAGAUAAUGAUGAUAAAGAAAGUCACAGUAGUUCACAUGUAUUGAGUAAUUACUAUAUACCAGACACAGGUCUAAGCACCUCCCAUAUAUUAACUUAUUUAAUCCUUAUAACAACUCUUUUGACAGAGAUUA
rnacentral:lncRNA from 1 species